AGCAGCAUUUCAGAAAUCUUUUGCCAUGGCCGUAGCUAUGGCAACAGAAAAGGGGCGUGUAAAGGAUACAAAGCAGCAACCAGCAGAGCUGAAUUGAUUCAUCAGACACGUUUUACCAACUAACAGUAACCCUUUCCUAUUCUGGCGAAGAUCAGCGAUUUGUCCACCAUGUGUCUGCAUUCAGCUGGUGAUAUUUAAUCGAAUAUUGCCACCCAACUCCAGAGGAAUCCAGGUGAAGAUGGAACAAUGUCACCAAGUAGUUUGUAAAAUUUCUACACCUGGCUAUUCCUAAAGGCUGUGGAUGUUGGAUCAAAUGGAUCUCACAAAACUGAAUUUUUUGCUUGGGAAUAGGUUAUCCUCCACACCUGACGGAAUCACUGACAGUGCGUCUUUGAAAUCUUGAUCUUGUUUGACAAGGACACGUACCAACACAAGAGCUUUGGUUCUGUAGAUGCCAGUUCACAAUAUGUCUUAACGAAUGCGCUGUACUCUGUCAGAACUGCCAGGCUUCUGUUAAUAUUUUAUAAUAA